rnacentral:lncRNA from 10 species
UUUUCUUUUCUUGUAGUGUCCUUGUCUGGCUAUUGUUCACGAGCAUGUUGUUCAAUUUCUUUGUAUUUGUGAAAUUUUCCAAAAUUCUUUUUAUUAUUUCUAGUUUCAUACCAUUGUGGUCAGAAAAGAUACUUGGUAUGAUUUCAGUCUUCUAAAGUUUAUUAAGACUCGUUUUGUGGCCUAACAUGUGAGUUGUCCUCAAGAAUGUUCCAUGUGCACUUGGGAAGAAUGUAUUUUCUGCUGCUGUUGGAUGGAAUGUUCUUUAUGUCUGUUAGUUUCCUUUGGUCUAAAGUGUAGUUCAAGUUUGAUGUUUCCUUUUUGAUUUUCUGGCUUUAUUGAAAGUGGACUAUUGAAGUCUCCUACUAUUAUUAUUAUUAUGGAAAUGGAGUCCUGCUUUGUCACCCAGGCUGGAGUGCAGUGGCAAAAUCUCGGCUCACUGAAACCUCCUCCUCCCGGGUUCGAGUGAUUCUCCUCCCUCAGCCUCCUGAGUAGCUGAGAUUACAGGUCACAGAAUUUUCCACACUCCUUGACAGAGCCCCCAUGUGUCACACAGACUCAGCCUCAGGUAGAUGGUUUCCGUAGAUGGUGGCUUUCUUUGGACCCUUGACAUCAACCAGUUACUAUUUGACUCUUCUGCAGAACCCCAUGUUGACCCCUGCUUUGAGGUGGCAGAGUUAACACUACUCUUCGUUAUAAGCUCUCGUCUGGGGCAACUCAGAAGAACGGGACCAGAUGUGCAGAGGUAAUGAAUACCAGGGAAUCAGG